rnacentral:rRNA from 1 species
CCUACGGGGGGCAGCAGUGAGGAAUAUUGGUCAAUGGACGAGAGUCUGAACCAGCCAAGUAGCGUGAAGGAUGACUGCCCUAUGGGUUGUAAACUUCUUUUAUAAAGGAAUAAAACGAGGCACGUGUGCCUUUUUGCAUGUACUUUAUGAAUAAGGAUCGGCUAACUCCGUGCCAGCAGCCGCGGUAAUACGGAGGAUCCGAGCGUUAUCCGGAUUUAUUGGGUUUAACGGGAGCGUAGAUGGGUUGUUAAGUCAGUUGUAAAAGUUUGCGGCUCAACCGUAAAAUUGCAAUUGAUACUGGCAGUCUUGAGUACAGUUGAGGUAGGCGGAAUUCGUGGUGUAGCGGUGAAAUGCUUAGAUAUCACGAAGAACCCCGAUUGCGAAGGCAGCUUACUAAACUGUGACUGACAUUGAUGCUCGAAAGUGUGGGUAUCAAACAGGAUUAGAUACCCUAGUAGUC